ensembl:lncRNA
CAAAAUGACUUCCAUCACAAACCUCCUCAACCUUACCCUCUUAGCCCCUCGAUGUGGGCUACGUGUUACCCCCAGAACAUCAGGGAGGCUGGCUCUCUGUUCAAAGACUUACAACCGCGCCGCCGCUUUCUAACCAGUUGAGGUGCUCUUCUAUCCCUGGCCCCUCUGUCCCAACAGGUGGGUACCUUACUUGGUUGCCGCAGGGCGCCGAGCCCGUGGAGCUGAGCGUGAAGGUCAGCGACCCGCUCAUCAGCUCCCUGUUCAGCCCGGUCCUCCAGGUGUGCAACUGCCUCAACGGGGGCACCUGCCAGUACGACGCCAUCACCCACAACUACCUGCAGGGCAAAUUCCAGGUGGUGGGCUGUCUGUGUCCGGAGGGCUUCAGCGGGGAGUUCUGCAGGGUGGUCUGGGACCCGUGUCUGGGCAAUCCGUGUUUCCCAGGCGUGGAUUGUCUGCCCGGGGCCGAGCCAGAGAGCUUCUCCUGCGGAGAGUGUCCCUCGCCCAAUGUCUACCAGGGCAAACAAGGCUACAAGUGCUUCCAGAAGGACUUUUGCCUGCCUCCCUCCCCUUUUCCCUGCCAUGAGAUGUCUGACUGCGACAACAAUGGCUACAGCUACUCUUGCAAGUGUAAACCUGGCUACACCGGGGACGGAUUUAAUUGCACAGACAUCGACGAGUGUCAGGACCCCUCUGCCUGCCCCAACGCCAAGUUUGAGUGCAUGAACCGGCCCGGUUCUGUGCACUGCUCCUGUAGGUACCAGAAGAGUAUGGCGGCUGAUGGCUGUGGUGAGUCAGCAAACCCUCCAGGUUUUAAUGUGUUUAACGUCUCCAUGGACUGGAAGGAUCCCGCACAGGAUAUGCUGACACAGUUGGAGGAGAUCCUGUCGGUGGGCUUCCAGAACAAGUUCUACAACGCCAGCAUUAAGGGCCCGCGGCAGGGGUCCGGGCCGGGGGCCGGGGAGUACCGCAUCAACGUGUCAAGCGACACACCCGCAUGGUACAUCCAGGAAUACCUGGGACGCGUGGGCCGCUUCUACGGCAUCGGCCUUCCCGAGGUCGGAGAUCUGGAUGAGUGCGCGGCCAAGGAGGCCGCGUGCGCGUGGCCGGCCCUCUGCGCCAACACCUACGGCGGCUACAGGUGCGUGUGCAACGGCACCACCGAGGUGGACGAGUCCCAGGCCUGCGUGUUGGGCAGUCAGGUUAUCCAAGCAGGGAACCAGAGCAGUGUGGUGGAGCCCCUGGAGGGGGACAACACAGCCCUGAUCCUGGGCCUGGUGCUGGGCAUUGGCAUCCCCUUCCUGCUGCUGCUGCUCGCCCUGUUGUGCUUCUGCUGCUGCUGCCCCCGCAAAAAGACCGCCCCCAGAGAGCCGUCCCAUUUGCUGCCUGGGUACCUGCAGUACAUCCCCCCGCCCUUCAACUACUCUGACCCCUCCCUCCAGUACAUCAGCCACUCCUGCCCCCGCUCCCUGGACACGCCCCCACCCAGGAGCUACCAUCACACCAAUCAUAUAUAUUCGUCAGCAAGCUGAACACACAAACACAAACACACGCACACACACACACACACACACAAACACACGCACACACACGCACAUACAUUCUAGCGCAAACACAGUCACACAUACACAAAGACCAACAGACACAGGACAUGUAAUAUGAUCAAAUGCACACAAAGUGCAGCGGAAGAAAAGCUAGAAAAAGCAAACAAGUGCGUGUGCAUGCACACUCAUGUGUAUUAACAGCCAUUUGCAUGCUCACAAACAUUCUCCCCCGCUCACCCACGCACCUGACAGGUGAUUGGGCAUUUUAAGAGCCGUAAUGGCCUUAUAAUGACAAGACGGAUGACUUAUUUAUGCCGCAAUGUACAAACAUUUAAGCCUGAGUGACUUUGAAAGUCUAUUAGAUCCUGACCGUUAAUGCAGAGAGAGGGGGCCUGCCAAUUCCUCCAUAGGGUCUGACCCAGCAAAACCAAUAGCCCUCUUGGCUGGGAGACAUUGAUGAAAAGAAAACCACUGCAGUGGUCUUCAGGUUCCAAAUGACUCUGACAUUUACCCUUGAUACGCCUUUAUCUUUAGCCGGACUUCUUUUUUUAAAUGGUGCAUCAACUAUAGUUUAGAAAGGAAGCAGUGGAUACCCUAAAUGUAAAGACCUAUACAAAUUGCAGUUUGUGUAUUUAUUUGGUGGAUAUUGAAAUAUUUCAUUUUUUUUAAAUGCAUCGAAACAUAUUGCAUUUUAUAUAUUUAUCUUGUUGGGAGUUUUAAUAAAGAUGUCUAAAAUCUC